rnacentral:rRNA from 1 species
CCUACGGGUGGCAGCAGUCGAGAAUUUUUCUCAAUGGGGGAAACCCUGAAGGAGCGACGCCGCGUGGAGGAUGAAGGUCUUCGGAUUGUAAACUCCUGUCAUUGAAGAACUAGUAUUCGAAGAGGAAGGGACGGCUAACUCUGUGCCAGCAGCCGCGGUAAUACAGUGGUCCCAAGCGUUGUUCGGAUUCAUUGGGCGUAAAGGGAGCGUAGGUGGUCGGGUAAGUCAGAUGGCAAAUUUCGAUGCUCGACGUCGAAUCGCAUUUGAUACUGCCUGGCUAGAGGAAUUGAGAGGAGGCCGGAAUUCACGGUGUAGCAGUGAAAUGCGUAGAUAUCGUGAGGAAGACCAACGGCGAAAGCAGGCCUCUGGAAUUCCUGACCCUGAGGCUCGAAGGCCAGGGGAGCAAACGGGAUUAGAUACCCUUGUAGUC